AGAGUUUGAUCAUGGCUCAGAGCGAACGCUGGCGGCAGGCCUAACACAUGCAAGUCGAACGAACCCUUCGGGGUUAGUGGCGGACGGGUGAGUAACACGCGGGAACGUACCUUUAGGUUCGGAACAACACAGGGAAACUUGUGCUAAUGCCGAAUGUGCCCUUCGGGGGAAAGAUUUAUCGCCUUUAGAGCGGCCCGCGUCUGAUUAGCUUGUUGGUGAGGUAAAGGCUCACCAAGGCUACGAUCAGUAGCUGGUCUGAGAGGAUGAUCAGCCACACUGGGACUGAGACACGGCCCAGACUCCUACGGGAGGCAGCAGUGGGGAAUCUUGCGCAAUGGGCGAAAGCCUGACGCAGCCAUGCCGCGUGAAUGAUGAAGGUCUUAGGAUUGUAAAAUUCUUUCACCGGGGAAGAUAAUGACGGUACCCGGAGAAGAAGCCCCGGCUAACUUCGUG
rnacentral:rRNA from 1 species